UCGCCUGUUUUACAAAAACAUGGUCUUUUGUUUAUAUAAAAGAUCUUACCUGCCCUAUGAUUUUAUUUUAAAUGGCUGCAGUAUUUUGACUGUACAAAGGUAGCAUAAUCAUUUGUCUUUUAAUUGAAGGCUUGUAUGAAUGGUUGGAUGAAAAAUAUACUUUCUUUAUUAUAUAUAAAAAAUUUAAUUUUUUAGUUAAAAAGCUAAGAUGAUAUUAUAGGACGAGAAGACCCUAUAGAACUUUAUUUUCUUUUUUAUAUAAAUUUUAUAGUUAAAUAAAAAUUUUUAUAUUUAUGUUUAUUUUGUUGGGGCGAUUGAAAAAAAUUAAUAACUUUUUCUAUUUUUUUCAUUUAUAUAUGUUAUAAUGAUCCUUUAUUAUGGAUAAUAAGAUUAAGUUACCUUAGGGAUAACAGCGUUAUUUUUUUGGAGAGUUCAUAUCGAUAAAAAAGUUUGCGACCUCGAUGUUGGAUUAAAAUAAGUAAUAGGGGUAGAAUAUUAUUAACUAGGUCUGUUCGACCUUUAAAUUUUUACAUGAUCGGGUUUUAACCCGGGGAAUUU
rnacentral:rRNA from 1 species